rnacentral:rRNA from 1 species
UACAGAGGUCUCAAGCGUUGUUCGGAUUCAUUGGGCGUAAAGCGCACGUAGUCGGCUUUGCAAGUCGGGUGUGAAAUCCCCGGGCUCAACCUGGGAACUGCAUCCGAGACUGCAUUGCUAGAGUAUGGGAGAGGGAAGCGGAAUUUCCGGUGUAGCAGUGAAAUGCGUAGAUAUCAGAAGGAACAUCAGUGGCGAAGGCGGCUUCCUGGACCAAUACUGACGAUCAGGUGCGAAAGCGUGGGGAGCAAACAGG